rnacentral:rRNA from 1 species
GAUGAACGCUGGCGGCGUGCCUAAUACAUGCAAGUCGAGCGAACGGACGAGAAGCUUGCUUUUCUGAUGUUAGCGGCGGACGGGUGAGUAACACGUGGAUAACCUACCUAUAAGACUGGGAUAACUUCGGGAAACCGGAGCUAAUACCGGAUAAUAUUUUGAACCGCAUGGUUCAAAAGUGAAAGACGGUCUUGCUGUCACUUAUAGCUGGAUCCGCGCUGCAUUAGCUAGUUGGUAGGGUAACGGCGCACCAAGGCAACGAUGCAUAGCCGACCUGAGAGGGUGAUCGGCCACACUGGAACUGAGACACGGUCCAGACUCCUACGGGAGGCAGCAGUAGGGAAUCUUCCGCAAAGGGCGAAAGCCUGACGGAGCAACGCCGCGUGAGUGAUGAAGGUCUUCGGAUCGUAAAACUCUGUUAUUAGGGAAGAACAUAUGUGUAAGUAACUGUGCACAUCGUGACGGUACCUAAUCAGAAAGCCACGGCUAACUACGUG